AGAGUUUGAUCAUGGCUCAGAUUGAACGCUGGCGGCAUGCCUUACACAUGCAAGUCGAACGGUAACGGGCCUUCGGGUGCCGACGAGUGGCGAACGGGUGAGUAAUGCAUCGGAACGUACCUUUCAGUGGGGAUAACGUAGCGAAAGUUACGCUAAUACCGCAUAUUCUGUGAGCAGGAAAGCAGGGGAUCGCAAGACCUUGUGCUGAUUGAGCGGCCGAUGUCAGAUUAGCUAGUUGGUGAGGUAAAGGCUCACCAAGGCGACGAUCUGUAGCGGGUCUGAGAGGAUGAUCCGCCACACUGGAACUGAGACACGGUCCAGACUCCUACGGGAGGCAGCAGUGGGGAAUUUUGGACAAUGGGGGCAACCCUGAUCCAGCCAUGCCGCGUGAGUGAAGAAGGCCUUCGGGUUGUAAAGCUCUUUCGGCCGGGAAGAAAUCGCAUGGGUUAAUACCCUGUGCGGAUGACGGUACCGGCAUAAGAAGCACCGGCUAACUACGUG
rnacentral:rRNA from 1 species